rnacentral:tRNA from 1 species
GCGUGCGCUGGCCGAGUUCGGGACGGCGCUGGUCACGCCGUGGAAAUCCGUGGUGCUGCCCGACGUGCCCGCC